AACGAACGCUGGCGGCAUGCCUAACACAUGCAAGUCGAACGAGACCUUCGGGUCUAGUGGCGCACGGGUGCGUAACGCGUGGGAACCUGCCCUUAGGUUCGGAAUAACUCCCCGAAAGGGGUGCUAAUACCGGAUAAUGUCUUCGGACCAAAGAUUUAUCGCCUUUGGAUGGGCCCGCGUUGGAUUAGCUAGUUGGUAGGGUAAAAGCCUACCAAGGCGACGAUCCAUAGCUGGUCUGAGAGGAUGAUCAGCCACACUGGGACUGAGACACGGCCCAGACUCCCCCGGGGGGGGCGAGUGUGGAAAAUAUGGCAAAGUGCGAAAGACCCUUCCCCCGCAGCCCCGGGAGUGAGAUAAGGCUUUGGGGUUUAAAACCCUUUUUCCCCGGGGGUGAAAGACACUGCCCGGAGAAAAAACUCCCGGGCACACCCC
rnacentral:rRNA from 1 species